GAAGACGACGACGCUGUAUUUCUUGCUAAUGUGUUCUUGGAUGAAUGCAAGACUGCAGAAGUCUCGGAAACAGGCCCGGAGAAAUUUGUUUGGCUCGAAGAGGACGAGGAAGGUAAUCCUCUCUCAAAAAGGAGUAGAACGGGGGAGGAGCGCAAACGUGGUUCAUCCACAGAAGCACGGACCCAUCAUGUGCUCCAUCUUCUAGUGGACAACAGAGAAUGACUGGGACCAUUCAAGACAUAGGUAGAUUAGUAGCCAAUGUUCAUUAUUUUUAUUAUCAGCUACUUUGUACCUAUCCC